GGCAUGAUGGCCUAGCGGUAUGAUUCUCGCUUUGGGUGUGAGAGGUCCCGGGUUCAAAUCCCGGUCGUGCCC
rnacentral:tRNA from 1 species